rnacentral:snRNA from 13 species
UUACUUACCUGGCACGGGAGACACCCUGAUCAGGCAGGUGGUUUUCCCAGGGGGAGGCUCAUCCCUUGCACUCCGGGUCUGCUGACCCCUGCGAUUUCCCCAAAUAUUUUUAUGUUAC